GGAAAGGGGCAACCCCGGUAAAGCGGCGCACGGGGCUGAGUAACACGUAGGUAAUCUGCCCCCAGGUGGUGGAUAACCUUCCGAAAGGAGGGCUAAUACAGCAUAAGACCACAGGCUCGCAAGAGCUCGAGGUCAAAGCCGGCCUCUUCAUGAAAGCUGGCGCCAGGGGAUGAGCCUGCGGCCCAUCAGCUAGUUGGUAGGGUAACGGCCUACCAAGGCGAAGACGGGUAGCUGGUCUGAGAGGAUGAUCAGCCACACUGGAACUGAGACACGGUCCAGACUCCUACGGGAGGCAGCAGUGGGGAAUCUUGCGCAAUGGGCGAAAGCCUGACGCAGCGACGCCGCGUGAGUGAUGAAGGCCUUCGGGUUGUAAAGCUCUGUGGAGGGGGACGAAUAAGUCGUGGCCAACAUCCACGAUGAUGACGGUACCUCUUUAGCAAGCACCGGCUAACUCUGUGCCAGCAGCCGCGGUAA
rnacentral:rRNA from 1 species